UACGUAGGGGACAAGCGUUAUCCGGAUUUACUGGGCGUAAAGCGCCCGUAGGCGGCCUGACAAGUUGGACGUGAAAGCUCCUGGCUUAACUGGGAGAGGCCGUUCAAAACUGUCAAGCUAGAGUCUGGAAGAGGAGAGCGGAAUUCCCGGUGUAGUGGUGGAAUGCGUAGAUAUCAGGAGGAACACCGAUAGCGAAGGCAGCUCGCUGGGACGGUACUGACGCUGAGGCGCGAAAGCGUGGGGAGCGAACAGG
rnacentral:rRNA from 1 species